GAGCUUGCUUCAAUUGCCGGCGACCGGCGCACGGGUGAGUAACGCGUAUCCCCUUUCGGUAGGUCAAGGAUAGCCUUUCGAAAGAAAGAUUCAUACCUGAUGGUAUGAUGAGAUUGCAUGAUAGCAUCAUUAAAGAUUUAUCGGUGUACGAUGGGGAUGCGUUCCAUUAGGUAGUAGGCGGGGUAACGGCCCACCUAGCCUACGAUGGAUAGGGGUUCUGAGAGGAAGGUCCCCCACAUUGGAACUGAGACACGGUCCAAACUCCUACGGGAGGCAGCAGUGAGGAAUAUUGGUCAAUGGACGAGAGUCUGAACCAGCCAAGUAGCGUGAAGGAUGAAGGUCCUACGGAUUGUAAACUUCUUUUAUAAGGGAAUAAAACCUCCCACGUGUGGGAGCUUGUAUGUACCUUAUGAAUAAGCAUCGGCUAACUCCGUGCCAGCAGCCGCGGUAAUACGGAGGAUGCGAGCGUUAUCCGGAUUUAUUGGGUUUAAAGGGAGCGCAGACGGGUCGUUAAGUCAGCUGUGAAAGUUUGGGGCUCAACCUUAAAAUUGCAGUUGAUACUGGCGUCCUUGAGUGCGGUUGAGGUGUGCGGAAUUCGUGGUGUAGCGGUGAAAUGCUUAGAUAUCACGAAGAACUCCGAUUG
rnacentral:rRNA from 1 species